rnacentral:rRNA from 1 species
UGUGGUCAAGUUUUUAAGGGCACACGGUGGAUGCCUUGGCAUUAGGAGCCGAAGAAGGACGUAGGAAUCUGCGAUAAGCCUCGGGGAGUUGAUAACCAAACUUUGAUCCGAGGGUGUCCGAAUGGGGGAACCCCGCUACCCGGUGUAAGCCGAGGUGGUGACCUGCACCUGAAUAUAUAGGGUGUGUGGAGGGAACGUGGGGAAGUGAAACAUCUCAGUACCCACAGGAAGAGAAAACAAUAGUGAUUCCGUUAGUAGUGGCGAGCGAACGCGGAUCAGGCUAAACCGUGUCAUGUGUGAUAGCCGGCGGGCGUUGCAUGGUGCGGGGUUGUGGGACUUACCGAUCUAGUUCUGCCGGACUAGGAAGGGGAAUGGUGCAUGUAUAGGUGAACGGUUUUGAAUGGCCGACCGUAGAGGGUGAGAGUCCCGUAACUGAAAUGCAGUGCACUCCCUGGUGAGUAUCCCAAGUAGCACGGGGCCCGAGAAAUCCCGUGUGAAUCUGUCAGGACCACCUGAUAAGCCUAAAUACUACCUAAUGACCGAUAGCGGACAAGUACCGUGAGGGAAAGGUGAAAAGUACCCCGGGAGGGGAGUGAAAUAGUACCUGAAACCGUGUGCUUACAAUCCGUCAGAGCAAGCGUGCCCCUUUGGGGGUAGUUGUUCUUGUGAUGGCGUGCCUUUUGAAGAAUGAGCCUGCGAGUUAGUGUUACGUCGCGAGGUUAACCCGUGUGGGGAAGCCGUAGCGAAAGCGAGUCUGAAUAGGGCGAGUUUAGUGGCGUGAUCUAGACCCGAAGCGAAGUGAUCUACCCAUGGCCAGGUUGAAGCGCGUGUAAGAGCGCGUGGAGGACCGAACCCACUUCAGUUGAAAAUGGAGGGGAUGAGCUGUGGGUAGGGGUGAAAGGCCAAUCAAACUUCGUGAUAGCUGGUUCUCCCCGAAAUGCAUUUAGGUGCAGCGUUGCGUGUUUCUUACUGGAGGUAGAGCUACUGGAUGGCUAAUGGGCCCUACAAGGUUACUGACGUCAGCCAAACUCCGAAUGCCGGUAAGUCAGAGCGUAGCAGUGAGACUGUGGGGGAUAAGCUUCAUAGUCGAGAGGGAAACAGCCCAGACCACCAACUAAGGCCCCUAAGCGUGUGCUAAGUGGGAAAGGAUGUGGGAUUGCUUAGACAACCAGGAGGUUGGCUUAGAAGCAGCCAUCCUUAAAAGAGUGCGUAAUAGCUCACUGGUCAAGUGAUUCCGCGCCGACAAUGUAGCGGGGCUCAAGUACACCGCCGAAGUUGUGGAUUUCAAACAUUACCCUAACAAGNNNNNNNNNNNNNNNNNNNNNNNNNNNNNNNNNNNNNNNNNNNNNNNNNNNNNNNNNNNNNNNNNNNNNNNNNNNNNNNNNNNNNNNNNNNNNNNNCUUGUUCUUGUUCAGGGGUUUGGAGUGGUAGGGGAGCGUCGUGUAGGCAUUGAAGCCGCAGUGUGAACUAGCGGUGGAGCCUACACGAGUGAGAAUGCAGGCAUGAGUAGCGAAAGACGGGUGAGAAACCCGUCCGCCGAAUGAUCAAGGGUUCCAGGGUCAAGCUAAUCUGCCCUGGGUAAGUCGGGACCUAAGGCGAGGCCGACAGGCGUAGUCGAUGGACAACGGGUUGAUAUUCCCGUACCGGUGAAGAACCGCCAAUAUUGAACCAGUGAUACUAACCACCCAAAACACCACUGCGUGUCCUUCGGGACCAGGGUGUGUGUGGAGCGUGGGAUCUGAACUGGGGAGGUAAACGUAUUAACAGGUGUGACGCAGGAAGGUAGCCGAGCCGGGCGAUGGUAGUCCCGGUCUAAGGACGUAGGAAACACGAUAGGCAAAUCCGUUGUGUUGUCUUCAAUGACGAUUCUGAGAUCUGAUGGGACCCCCUUACGGGGGAAUUCGGUGAUCCUAUGCUGCCUAGAAAAGCAUCGACGUGAGGUUCUAACUGCCCGUACCCCAAACCGACACAGGUGAUCAGGUAGAGAAUACUAAGGCGAUCGAGAGAAUUAUGGUUAAGGAACUCGGCAAAAUGCCCCCGUAACUUCGGGAGAAGGGGGGCCUGCCUCGUGAAGGACACUAGCUGUCCGUGAGCGAGUGUGGGCCGCAGAGACCAGGGGGAAGCGACUGUUUACUAAAAACACAGGUCCGUGCGAAGUCGCAAGACGAUGUAUACGGACUGACUCCUGCCCGGUGCUGGAAGGUUAAGAGGACCGGUUAGCACACUUGUGUGCGAAGCUGAGAAUUUAAGCCCCAGUAAACGGCGGUGGUAACUAUAACCAUCCUAAGGUAGCGAAAUUCCUUGUCGGGUAAGUUCCGACCUGCACGAAUGGAGUAACGACUUCCCCGCUGUCUCAACCAUAAACUCGGCGAAAUUGCAGUACGAGUAAAGAUGCUCGUUACGCGCAGCAGGACGGAAAGACCCCGAGACCUUUACUAUAGUUUGGUAUUGGUGUUCGGAGUGGCUUGUGUAGGAUAGGUGGGAGACUGUGAAACCGCAACGCUAGUUGUGGUGGAGUCAUCGUUGAAAUACCACUCUGGUCACUUUGGACAUCUAACUUCGGCCCGUAAUCCGGGUCAGGGACAGUGCCUGAUGGGUAGUUUAACUGGGGCGGUUGCCUCCUAAAAAGUAACGGAGGCGCCCAAAGGUUCCCUCAGCCUGGUUGGCAAUCAGGUUUCGAGUGUAAGUGCACAAGGGAGCUUGACUGUGAGAGGGACACCUCGAGCAGGGACGAAAGUCGGGACUAGUGAUCCGGCGGCACAUUGUGGAAUGGCCGUCGCUCAACGGAUAAAAGGUACCUCGGGGAUAACAGGCUGAUCUUGCCCAAGAGUCCAUAUCGACGGCAUGGUUUGGCACCUCGAUGUCGGCUCGUCGCAUCCUGGGGCUGGAGUAGGUCCCAAGGGUUGGGCUGUUCGCCCAUUAAAGCGGUACGCGAGCUGGGUUUAGAACGUCGUGAGACAGUUCGGUCCCUAUCCGCUGCGCGCGCAGGAAAUUUGAGAAGAGCUGUCCUUAGUACGAGAGGACCGGGACGGACGAACCUCUGGUGUGUCAGUUGUACUGCCAAGUGCAUCGCUGAUUAGCUACGUUCGGAAGGGAUAACCGCUGAAAGCAUCUAAGCGGGAAGCCCACUUCAAGAUGAGAUUUCCAUACACAGUUAUGUGUGAGAGGCCCCCAGCUAGACCACUGGGUUGAUAGGCCGGACGUGGAAGCGAGGACUAAAGACUCGUGAAGCUGACCGGUACUAAUAGGCCGAUAACUUACACCACACA